GGCGUCGUCUAAUGUGAGAAACAAAAACCGAUGACAUCUCAUUCCACAAUGUCAUUAGGCUG
rnacentral:sRNA from 1 species